GUCUACGGCCAUACCACUGGAACAUGCCCAAUCUCAUCUGAUCUUAGAAGCUAAGCAGGGUCAGGCCUGGUUAGUACUUGUAAAGG
rnacentral:rRNA from 1 species